rnacentral:lncRNA from 1 species
UUUUUUUUUUUUUUGCUGCAACUGUAGCACGUGUAAGCUCUCAGGCCAGGGGUUGAACCCGCGUCACAGCAGGGCCCUGUGAGCCAUGUAGAGCUUGUGGACUUCUUUCAAUGGAGUAGUUAUACUAUUAAAUGGAUAAGGCAUUUCUCUAGUAUUUUACAAUUUUUAACCAGAUAUUUCAUACAAUUGAAAAGGUUGGCGAGCUAUACAGGUUUAAAUGAGAUCAUUCAUACUAUGCCCUUCACACAGUACUUGGUAUGAGAUAAAUGCUGGAGAAACUGAGCCAUGACUGUCAUUUACUAGCUGGGGUCCCCCCAUCACCUAAGGCAAGUGUGUGUCAAGAUCUGCUUGUGCUUCUGUGCUCAGAGAGCCUGUCACCCCUCCACCUGGGCUGUACCUGAUAGUGGGCUGCUGGUGCUCCUGCACAAGCAGCUGUCACCACACCUGCCAAGACAGCACAGGCUCUAUAUGUCCCCCAACACUGAGGGCAGGAUCUGAGGAGAAACUCCUGGCUGUGCCAGGGUCCACUGGGAUCUAUAGGUGCUUCUGUGCUGCCACGGGCCUGAGAGCUGCUUGUGCUCCCUUAAUAGGCAGUGGCAGAGGGCGUGUCUCCACUGCUGCCAUUCAUCCCAGGGUUCCCCACUCCUCUCUGGUAGGUCAGAGCCCCCUCCCAACACAGCCUGGCACAGCUCUCAGGCCCCGUGCCUGCUGAGGCUUAGAAUCAAGGUAGCAGCGCCUUUGCUGCCCCCUUACAGCCUCAGAGAGAUGCUACCUACACCCUGAUUUUCCAGUUAAAAUCUAGCUCUGAAAAGUCCUCAUGUCCACUGGGCAGAACCACUGCAUUCAAGCCGAGUGCAGCUGAGAGGUCCACAGAAUCUGUUUAUAAACCUGAGAGGACAGGAUGGGCAUUCUUUAGGUAGUAGCCCUCCUUUCUCCAAGAAUUAUCAGGAGAUAGGAGACCUUCAGGCAUUUCUUCAUGGUCAGAAUGAGGGGUGAUCCCUAGGAAUUUUAUAUUCAAGAGCCUCGAGAAGUAUGUUGACCUGGGGACUCCCAUUGUUCCAGUGCAGAUCUGAGUGGUAGCAGCAGCAGGCUGCACAUGCUGCCAGGAUGGGUCAGGGACUCAGGCACAACAAGAAAACAGGAGAAGCCCCCUCUCCGUUCCUGCAGCACCUGGCACCUAACUGCCAGAACAGGAGCACAGGGGCCCCAGGCACAGAGCACACCCCACACUCCUGUUUCAAAGACAGGGAUGUUUCAUGUAUAUGACAUCACCCUGUUCAACAUACAGGAACCCAAAACUACCUCUGCUCUUGAUGACAAAAACUCAUAAUUCAGGACACAAAUCGUGUGUGUGUAGGGGUAGAAGUCCUGUUCGUCCGUUGGUCUCCUUUAAAAGGACAACUCGGAUGAAAUCAUCUGUGUAUUCUAAGAGCUCACAGGUAAUAGAACCACCAGUAAGGAGCGAGAACAUGGCAGGUACCCAAUAGGUGGGCUGACAGAGCAUGACUGCAUCUUGGGGAACAGCUCACCUGCUCCUCCUGUUAACACCUGUGAACAGUACUGUGGGGGCCUUGGGGCUGCAUCAGGAACCCCAGGUCUGCCACCCACCUGACCCCCUAACUCACCAUCACAGGCACAGCCACUGAAGCCCAGGCCCCUGAUAAGGUGAAGAGCAGACUGUUACAGACUAAGCAGGAUGGGCAGUGAAGGACUGGGCAGUGUGGCGCCAGGGACACCUCAUCUAGUCUGAGCAUGAAGGGAUGAUGGCCGGGGGAGGGGCUCCAGCAUGAGGACGUGUGGAGAGCAGGGCCACUGCACCCUUGGGAGGACAGCUGGUUGUGGGGUGCAGAGCCAGGAGGCAGGUGGAGGGAGACAGGCUGAGGCCCACAGGACAUGCUAGGCAGGGCUGCACACACUAUAGACACUCGACAGUCAGAACUUCUCCAUAUUGGAAUAACUGUCUCAAAAUAAGUUUUAAGAUGUUUUUAGAAAAAA